GAUGAACGCUGACAGAAUGCUUAACACAUGCAAGUCAACUUGAAUUUGGGUUUUUAACUUCGGUUUGGGUGGCGGACGGGUGAGUAACGCGUAAAGAACUUGCCUCACAGCUAGGGACAACAUUUGGAAACGAAUGCUAAUACCUAAUAUUAUGAUAAUAGGGCAUCCUAUAAUUAUGAAAGCUAUAAGCGCUGUGAGAGAGCUUUGCGUCCCAUUAGCUAGUUGGAGAGGUAACGGCUCACCAAGGCGAUGAUGGGUAGCCGGCCUGAGAGGGUGAUCGGCCACAAGGGGACUGAGACACGGCCCUUACUCCUACGGGAGGCAGCAGUGGGGAAUAUUGGACAAUGGACCGAGAGUCUGAUCCAGCAAUUCUGUGUGCACGAUGAAGUUUUUCGGAAUGUAAAGUGCUUUCAGUUGGGAAGAAACAAAUGACGGUACCAACAGAAGAAGUGACGGCUAAAUACGUG
rnacentral:rRNA from 1 species